rnacentral:rRNA from 1 species
ACGCACGCUGGCGGCGUGCUUAACACCUGCCAGUCGCACGGAAAGGCCCUGCUUGCAGGGUGCUCGAGUGGCGAACGGGUGAGUAACACGUGGGUGAUCUGCCCCUUACUUUGGGAUAAGCCUGGGAAACUGGGUCUAAUACUGGAUAGGACCAUGCUGUAGGUGGUGUGGUGGAAAGAUUAGUUUCGGUAAGGGAUGAGCUCGCGGCCUAUCAGCUUGUUGGUGGGGUAAUGGCCUACCAAGGCGUCGACGGGUAGCCGGCCUGAGAGGGUGGACGGCCACAUUGGGACUGAGAUACGGCCCAGACUCCUACGGGAGGCAGCAGAGGGGAAUAUUGCACAAUGGGCGCAAGCCUGAUGCAGCGACGCCGCGUGGGGGAUGACGGCCUUCGGGUUGUAAACUCCUUUCAGCCAUGACGAAGCCCUUGUGGUGACGGUAGUGGUAGAAGAAGCACCGGCUAACUACGUG